GUGGGGAAUAUUGCACAAUGGGCGCAAGCCUGAUGCAGCCAUGCCGCGUGUAUGAAGAAGGCCUUCGGGUUGUAAAGUACUUUCAGCGAGGAGGAAGGCAUUAAGGUUAAUAACCUUAGUGAUUGACGUUACUCGCAGAAGAAGCACCGGCUAACUCCGUGCCAGCAGCCGCGGUAAUACGGAGGGUGCAAGCGUUAAUCGGAAUUACUGGGCGUAAAGCGCACGCAGGCGGUCUGUUAAGUCAGAUGUGAAAUCCCCGGGCUCAACCUGGGAACUGCAUUUGAAACUGGCAGGCUUGAGUCUUGUAGAGGGGGGUAGAAUUCCAGGUGUAGCGGUGAAAUGCGUAGAGAUCUGGAGGAAUACCGGUGGCGAAGGCGGCCCCCUGGACAAAGACUGACGCUCAGGUGCGAAAGCGUGGGGAGCAAACAGGAUUAGAAACCCUUGUAGUCC
rnacentral:rRNA from 1 species